rnacentral:rRNA from 2 species
GAUUUCUGGUACGGUGCGCGUGGCCCGCCAUCGAAAGGUGUGCGAGUGUCGCUUGUGCGUCUACCAUCUCUUGUAGCUAGGGUGUCUCUCUCCAGGGGCAUCUGAACUACAUCGUUUACUUUGAAGAAAUUAGAGUGUUCAAAGCGGGCUUGCGCAUGAAUAUAUUAGCAUGGAAUAAUAAUUUAGGACUUUGAUCCUAUUUUGUUGGUUUUAAGGAUUAAAGUAAUGAUUGAUAGGGAUAGUUGGGGGUGCUAGUAUUCACCGGCCAGAGGUGAAAUUCUUGGAUUCGGUGAAGACUAACUUAUGCGAAAGCAUU